ACACUCCUGCGGGAGGCAGCAGUGGGGAAUAUUGGACAAUGGGCGCAAGCCUGAUCCAGCCAUGCCGCGUGAGUGAUGAAGGCCCUAGGGUUGUAAAGCUCUUUCACCGGUGAAGAUAAUGACGGUAACCGGAGAAGAAGCCCCGGCUAACUUCGUACCAGCAGCCGCGGUAAUACGAAGGGGGCUAGCGUUGUUCGGAUUUACUGGGCGUAAAGCGCACGUAGGCGGACUAUUAAGUCAGGGGUGAAAUCCCGGGGCUCAACCCCGGAACUGCCUUUGAUACUGGUAGUCUUGAGUUCGGGAGAGGUGAGUGGAAUUCCGAGUGUAGAGGUGAAAUUCGUAGAUAUUCGGAGGAACACCAGUGGCGAAGGCGGCUCACUGGCUCGAUACUGACGCUGAGGUGCGAAAGCGUGGGGAGCAAACAGGAUUAGAUACCCUAGUAGUCCCAUGA
rnacentral:rRNA from 1 species